CUGCAUUUGAAGAUGAAAUUACAAGAGAUUUAAAACACACAGGGGCCGGAAUCCUUUCAAUGGCAAACAGUUUACUACCUCUAGAUAUUAUUUAAUUCAAGUCAGUUGCCAUCUUAAGGCAUGACAUCUCAAAUAACACAUUGCCACCUCAAGUAGUGGUCCAAACACAAAUGGAAGCUAGUUUUUUAUCACCUUAGCUCCAACACAGUGGCUUGAUGGUAAACAUACCAUAUUUGGUUGCAUCAGCGAUGGGAUCGGUGUUGUGAAGAGGAUAGGAUUAGUGGAGACAGACCCAGGUGAUAGGCCACUUCAUGAUGUUUACAUUUUAAAUGGGAAAGCAGCACCAAAACGCACAUAUCAUAUUGUUUGAAGUCAUUGAACCAUCCAUUAAUGUGCCAAAUGAAGACUACAAACCUCUCAGACUGUAUGGAUAUCCAUAAUAACAUUACAUCAAACUGCGUCAGAUAUUUACAUGUAACUGGUUUUUGUUGUAACAUGAGCUGAAUGACAAUACAAUACAGUACAAUAAUAUAUUCUUUAGCUAACGAAAGUGACGUAAUUAAACCAAUGAGUUAUCUAACUUUCGGCCUUCACAACAAACCCACCAUCCCACCCCAGGGGAGGACAUCCAUCACACAG